rnacentral:rRNA from 1 species
GGCGGACGGGUGAGUAAUGUCUGGGAAACUGCCUGAUGGAGGGGGAUAACUACUGGAAACGGUAGCUAAUACCGCAUAACGUCGCAAGACCAAAGAGGGGGACCUUCGGGCCUCUUGCCAUCGGAUGUGCCCAGAUGGGAUUAGCUUGUUGGUGGGGUAACGGCUCACCAAGGCGACGAUCCCUAGCUGGUCUGAGAGGAUGACCAGCCACACUGGAACUGAGACACGGUCCAGACUCCUACGGGAGGCAGCAGUGGGGAAUAUUGCACAAUGGGCGCAAGCCUGAUGCAGCCAUGCCGCGUGUAUGAAGAAGGCCUUCGGGUUGUAAAGUACUUUCAGCGGGGAGGAAGGGAGUAAAGUUAAUACCUUUGCUCAUUGACGUUACCCGCAGAAGAAGCACCGGCUAACUCCGUGCCAGCAGCCGCGGUAAUACGGAGGGUGCAAGCGUUAAUCGGAAUUACUGGGCGUAAAGCGCACGCAGGCGGUUUGUUAAGUCAGAUGUGAAAUCCCCGGGCUCAACCUGGGAACUGCAUCUGAUACUGGCAAGCUUGAGUCUCGUAGAGGGGGGUAGAAUUCCAGGUGUAGCGGUGAAAUGCGUAGAGAUCUGGAGGAAUACCGGUGGCGAAGGCGGCCCCCUGGACGAAGACUGACGCUCAGGUGCGAAAGCGUGGGGAGCAAACAGGAUUAGAUACCCUGGUAGUCCACGCCGUAAACGAUGUCGACUUGGAGGUUGUGCCCUUGAGGCGUGGCUUCCGGAGCUAACGCGUUAAGUCGACCGCCUGGGGAGUACGGCCGCAAGGUUAAAACUCAAAUGAAUUGACGGGGGCCCGCACAAGCGGUGGAGCAUGUGGUUUAAUUCGAUGCAACGCGAAGAACCUUACCUGGUCUUGACAUCCACGGAAGUUUUCAGAGAUGAGAAUGUGCCUUCGGGAACCGUGAGACAGGUGCUGCAUGGCUGUCGUCAGCUCGUGUUGUGAAAUGUUGGGUUAAGUCCCGCAACGAGCGCAACCCUUAUCCUUUGUUGCCAGCGGUCCGGCCGGGAACUCAAAGGAGACUGCCAGUGAUAAACUGGAGGAAGGUGGGGAUGACGUCAAGUCAUCAUGGCCCUUACGACCAGGGCUACACACGUGCUACAAUGGCGCAUACAAAGAGAAGCGACCUCGCGAGAGCAAGCGGACCUCAUAAAGUGCGUCGUAGUCCGGAUUGGAGUCUGCAACUCGACUCCAUGAAGUCGGAAUCGCUAGUAAUCGUGGAUCAGAAUGCCACGGUGAAUACGUUCCCGGGCCUUGUACACACCGCCCGUCACACCAUGGGAGUGGGUUGCAAAAGAAGUAGGUAGCUUAACCUUCGGGAGGGCGCUUACCACUUUGUGAUUCAUGACUGGGGUGAAGUCGUAACAAGGUAACCGUAGGGGAACCUGCGGUUGGAUCACCUCCUUACCUUAAAGAAGC